AGGGUCCCUUUGGCUUUAAGAUGUAGCCUUCACCAAAUUUAAGCUUCUUCCUUAGAGCUGGGUCUUUGUAGUUCCUUCUUUAUGUCUGGCCUGCUCUCCAGCCCCAUCUCUCCGUGAGCUGUUUUGGGAGAGGAAGAAGGGAGCUGAGAACAUGUGAGCACAGAGAGAGAAGGCUUUCAGGUUAAGAGGAGAUAGACAUACACCGCGCACCGCUGAAACACAAGACUUGGUUUCAGUUCUGCCUUUUCCCUGAUUGGAGGAGACUGUGGGUAUGGUGACUGGACAGGCUCGAAAAGACUGAGCUGAUCGGCCUGCCCUCGGGUCAGCAGCAGAAUGGAGAACGGAGGAAUCUCGUGACUCAGAGGUCUUAGAGGCAGUGAAGGAGAGAUGAGGCUCAGAGCAGAGAUGG
rnacentral:lncRNA from 1 species